CACCUCUCCUAGCCUCAGGAUCUUCAUGGGUAACAGAUGACGCUCCUCCCAAGAUAUUGGUAUGCGUACAGUAGUGCCCUGGACCGACCCCAUGCAAGCUGUUGCUCUUCAGCCUCCUCUACAAGGUGGUUGGUCUCUUCCCGUGAAACCUCCAGCUCUCUCCAUCUUCCGCACCCCUGAGGCCGCAGUCUCUUCUGUAACGGGGCACGCUCGUCUCCUGCGCUGUUCCCCGAUCGCCACCAGGAGGCGCCCCUUGCUCGCUGAAGCCGGUCGGGCUAAUAACUCCUCGGGGCCGGGGCGGGCUGCCCCUUUGCGCAGGGCGGUGGAGGGUGCGGGCUGCGCCGGGCUCCCCACCUGAGGUCGGUACCUCGAAGCGCCCGCUCGGCCGCGCGCCCCUUGCCCCAGCCCAGCGCCGCUCCCCAACCGGGCGCCUCCAGCUCGGCCCCGGCCCCCGGGCGGCAGCAAGUUUGCCCCCGGCCGCGCGGACCCGCGCCCGCCCCUCGCGCCGCCGCCCCCGCCGUUCACGCAGAUCCACCGUCCCCGCGCCUGGGCUACCCGGCGAGGCUCUAAGGGGCACAGGGGGGCGUGCGGCUGCCCCCGGGGCGCCGGCCGGGCCCCGAAGGGGCGCCCCCCCGGCCGGCCGAGCGCGGGGCCGUCGCAGUUCCCCGGCUGUCCGCCGGGCGGCGCCCCGUGCCUCACCGCGCUCCUCCCGCGCUCCCCGCGCCGGGCUCGCUCGCAGCCGGACACAGACUCUGCCUUCAGCUGCCGGCGGAUCGGGCUGGAGCCGCCGUGGCUGCUGCGGAAGAGAAAAAAACGGCGAGCAGCAGCCCCGCGGCCGGCCCAGCAGCGCCCGGCCCACGGCACAGCCCCCGGAGUGCGGAGCUGCCCAGACCCCCAGCCAGCCACUGUGACCCCCAAGGCAUCCACUAUCCUGACUUCCACAGAGACAUGUCAUGCCCAGGCCAGCAGGGGGCUCCAUGAGGAUUCAUAGAAGAUGCCCCGCGUCUCGGCGCCUUUGGUGCUGCUUCCUGCUUGGCUCGUGAUGGUCGCCUGCAGCCCGCACUCCCUGAGGAUCGCUGCUAUCUUGGACGACCCCAUGGAGUGCAGCAGAGGGGAGCGGCUCUCCAUCACCCUGGCCAAGAACCGCAUCAACCGCGCUCCUGAGAGGCUGGGCAAGGCCAAGGUCGAAGUGGACAUCUUUGAGCUUCUCAGAGACAGCGAGUACGAGACUGCAGAAACCAUGUGUCAGAUCCUCCCCAAGGGGGUGGUCGCUGUCCUCGGGCCAUCGUCCAGCCCAGCCUCCAGCUCCAUCAUCAGCAACAUCUGUGGAGAGAAGGAGGUCCCUCACUUCAAAGUGGCCCCAGAGGAGUUUGUCAAGUUUCAGUUCCAGAGAUUCACAACCCUGAACCUCCACCCCAGCAACACUGACAUCAGCGUGGCUGUAGCUGGGAUCCUGAACUUCUUCAACUGUACCACCGCCUGCCUCAUCUGUGCCAAAGCAGAAUGCCUUUUAAACCUAGAGAAGCUGCUCCGGCAAUUCCUCAUCUCCAAGGACACGCUCUCCGUCCGCAUGCUGGAUGACACCCGGGACCCCACCCCCCUCCUCAAGGAGAUCCGGGAUGACAAGACCGCCACCAUCAUCAUCCAUGCCAACGCCUCCAUGUCCCACACCAUCCUCCUGAAGGCAGCCGAACUUGGGAUGGUGUCAGCCUAUUACACAUACAUCUUCACUAAUCUGGAGUUCUCACUCCAGAGAAUGGACAGCCUUGUGGAUGAUCGUGUCAACAUCCUGGGAUUUUCCAUUUUCAACCAAUCCCAUGCUUUCUUCCAAGAGUUUGCCCAGAGCCUCAACCAGUCCUGGCAGGAGAACUGUGACCAUGUGCCCUUCACUGGGCCUGCGCUCUCGUCGGCCCUGCUGUUUGAUGCGGUCUACGCUGUGGUGACUGCGGUGCAGGAACUGAACCGGAGCCAGGAGAUCGGCGUGAAGCCCCUGUCCUGUGGCUCGGCCCAGAUCUGGCAGCACGGCACCAGCCUCAUGAACUACCUGCGCAUGGUAGAAUUGGAAGGUCUUACCGGCCACAUUGAAUUCAACAGCAAAGGCCAGAGGUCCAACUAUGCCUUGAAAAUCUUACAGUUCACGAGGAAUGGUUUUCGGCAGAUCGGCCAGUGGCACGUGGCAGAGGGCCUCAGCAUGGACAGCCGCCUCUACGCCUCCAACAUCUCAGACACACUCUUCAACACCACCCUGGUCGUCACCACCAUCCUGGAAAACCCGUAUUUAAUGCUGAAGGGGAACCACCAGGAGAUGGAAGGCAAUGACCGCUACGAGGGCUUCUGUGUGGACAUGCUCAAGGAGCUGGCAGAGAUCCUCCGAUUCAACUACAAGAUCCGCCUGGUUGGGGAUGGCGUGUAUGGCGUUCCCGAGGCCAACGGCACCUGGACGGGAAUGGUCGGGGAGCUGAUCGCUAGGAAAGCAGAUCUGGCUGUGGCAGGCCUCACCAUUACAGCUGAACGGGAGAAGGUGAUUGAUUUCUCUAAGCCAUUCAUGACUCUGGGAAUUAGCAUUCUUUACCGCGUUCAUAUGGGACGCAAACCCGGCUAUUUCUCCUUCCUGGACCCGUUUUCUCCAGGCGUCUGGCUCUUCAUGCUUCUAGCCUAUCUGGCUGUCAGCUGUGUCCUCUUCCUGGUGGCUCGGUUGACGCCCUACGAGUGGUACAGCCCACACCCAUGUGCCCAGGGCCGGUGCAACCUCCUGGUGAACCAGUACUCCCUGGGCAACAGCCUCUGGUUUCCAGUUGGGGGCUUCAUGCAGCAAGGCUCUACCAUCGCCCCUCGCGCCUUGUCCACCCGCUGUGUCAGUGGAGUCUGGUGGGCAUUCACGCUGAUCAUCAUCUCAUCCUACACGGCCAACCUGGCAGCCUUCCUGACCGUGCAACGCAUGGAUGUGCCCAUUGAGUCAGUGGAUGACCUGGCUGACCAGACCGCCAUUGAGUAUGGCACAAUUCACGGAGGCUCCAGCAUGACCUUCUUCCAAAAUUCCCGCUACCAGACCUACCAACGCAUGUGGAAUUACAUGUAUUCCAAGCAGCCCAGUGUGUUUGUGAAGAGCACAGAGGAGGGAAUCGCCAGGGUGUUGAAUUCCAACUAUGCCUUCCUCCUGGAGUCCACCAUGAACGAGUACUAUCGGCAGCGCAACUGCAACCUCACUCAGAUUGGGGGCCUGCUGGACACCAAGGGCUAUGGGAUUGGCAUGCCAGUCGGCUCGGUUUUCCGGGAUGAGUUUGAUCUGGCCAUUCUCCAGCUGCAGGAGAACAACCGCCUGGAGAUACUGAAGCGAAAAUGGUGGGAAGGAGGGAAGUGCCCCAAGGAGGAAGAUCACAGAGCUAAAGGCCUGGGAAUGGAGAAUAUUGGUGGAAUCUUUGUGGUUCUUAUUUGUGGCUUAAUCGUGGCCAUUUUUAUGGCUAUGUUGGAGUUUUUAUGGACUCUCAGACACUCAGAAGCAACUGAGGUGUCCGUCUGCCAGGAGAUGGUGACCGAGCUGCGCAGCAUCAUCCUGUGUCAGGACAGUAUCCACCCCCGCCGGAGGCGCGCCGGAGUCCCGCCGCCCCGGCCCCCAAUCCCGGAGGAGCGUCGGCCCCGGGGCACCGCGACGCUCAGCAACGGGAAGCUGUGCGGGGCGGGGGAGCCCGACCAGCUCGCGCAGAGACUGGCGCAGGAGGCCGCCCUGGUGGCCCGCGGCUGCACGCACAUCCGCGUGUGCCCCGAGUGCCGCCGCUUCCAGGGCCUGCGGGCACGGCCGUCGCCCGCCCGCAGCGAGGAGAGCCUGGAGUGGGAGAAGACCACCAACAGCAGCGAGCCCGAGUAGCCCCGGCGGCUGCAGGACGCGCGGAGGCCGGCCGGGCGGGAGGGGCGGGGCGGGCGCCGCUGUCCGCCGAGAGCUCGGACUUGUACAGCGUAGACACCUCUCCGGAUUUCGGAUCCAGUCACUUUUUUUCAAAAAGAUCAAAGAGCCUGACGCCCCAGCCAGAGACCGCGCCCGGUCAGGGAGCGGGGUCCACCCGGAGACGUUGCACCCAAGUGGCAAAGGACCCCUCUUCUCCCAGCGGGCCUUUCCCUCUCGCCAAAAUAACGGAGUAUAGGGUGUGGGGUCCCUGGCUAGACCAGUCCAAUGAAUUGGUGGAAUCAUCAGUUGAAUUUCCCCCUAGGAAGGGGCCAAUGUACCCUCCGUCUAGUUCGUUCAGAAAAAAAAAAAAUUAAACUAAACAGGGAAGUUUUCUUUUCUGGAUUUGUAUAUUUUUGUUCAUGUUUUUUUCUUUUUUCUUUCCUCCUCUUUUCUUCUUUGUCAUCUUCUCAGUUCUGUUCAUUUGUUUUGUGGUUUUUGAAGGGGGAGGCUGGGUUAGGGAAUGGAAGUCUAAAUAAUCCCUAUUUCUUCUUUUUCCUGACCUUUGGAAUAUUGAGUCACCAGUGCAUCCGAUUUCAGGUGCUUAACUCUUUUCUGUGUGGUGAGUGAGGGGAACAGGAGAAGGGGUCUUGGGGAGAAUCAGAUGGAGAGCCUCAAAUAAAAGUCCAUUGAAGUAAAUUUUUAGAUGCCA
rnacentral:lncRNA from 13 species